GUGCCCCUUCAAACACAUCCGAUAAAAUUGGAACGAUACAGAAAAGAUAAUCAUAACUCCAUCACAAGAAUGACACGCACAAAUUAAGAAAUGAUCCAAAUUUAA
rfam:Solanum tuberosum cultivar DM 1-3 516 R44 scf00293_34, whole genome shotgun sequence.